GACUUUAUAAAGAUUGUUUUGAAAACAAUUUAUAAGAUUAUUCUUUAAAGUCG
rnacentral:tRNA from 1 species